rnacentral:rRNA from 1 species
ACCGAAGUGGUCUAAUACCUCAUAAUAUCCAUCUCGUAUGGAUUAAAGCUUUAUGCGCUUUGGGAGGGGCCUGCGUAACAUUAGCUUGUUGGUGAGGUAAAAGCUCACCAAGGCUUCGAUGUUUAACUGGUUUGAGAGGAUGACCAGUCACACUGGGACUGAGAUACGGCCCAGACUCCUACGGGAGGCAGCAGUAAGGAAUCUUCCACAAUGGGGCAACCCUGAUGGAGCAAUACCGCGUGCAGGAUGAAGCGUUUCGGCGUGUAAACUGCUUUUAUCACCGAAGAUUAUGACUGUAGGUGAAGAAUAAGGACCGGCUAACUACGUG